UUCCAAAAUGCACCGUUUAACCCAAAAGAACAACCUCCCCGUAAUGACACCAUAAAAUUCAUCUCUCUACCACCCUCUUCCACCCAUCUGCUCCCGAAACCAAGUGCCAAAACGUGCCAAAGUUGCCAUUUCGCUACUGGGUACUGCCGCGAUACCGAUCUGUAUCAAUCAACCGGUGCUGAUGGUGAUGCAGCCGGCUCCUGUCUCCUGUCGCCGGCGAGCAGCUCGCUCAAUAUUCAUAGAAAAAUGGAAAAUCAAAUUGCAUCGCGCCUCAUCUAGGCUGGCCCUAGUUUUCCUAGCCAGCCAGCCAUCCUUUGCAGUUCAGCAAUAUAUAUUUUUUGUGCCUUUUCUCCUGUUUCUGGUUUUCAGUACGGUGCGACUAUCAAUCACCUGCCUCUUUUACAAAAUGCCGUUAUUAUGAGCGAAGCUAGUUUAACCAUCAUGGGUUCUGGAAGCACCCGACGAUGAUGUGGAAAAGGUGAUGCAAAAACCGGUGGAAUGAUUCACCUUUCAGUGACAUUGUGCUAGGAACUUCUUAAGAAGUUCAAAUUUCUGGAAACUUCCUGGUAACAUCCUUGACAGAAUCCUCUCAGAAUUCUAAAUGGAAUCCUUUCGGAAUUUUUCACAGAAUCCUCUUAGAAUUCUCUACAAAAACCUUUAAUAAUUCUUCACAUCAUCCUCUCAGGAUUCUCCGUAGAAUACUCUCCUGAUUCUCCCCAGAGGUCUCUCAGGAUUCUCCACAGAAUCCUCGCAGGAUUCUCCACAGAUUCCUCUCUGAAUUCUCCACAGAAUCUUCUCAAGAUUUUCCACAGAACCCUCUCAGGAAUCUCCACAGAAUCCUCUCAGGAAUCUCCACAGAAUACUCUCAGGAAUCUCCACAGAAUCCUCUCAGGAUUCUCCACAUAAUCCUCUCAGGAUUCUCCACAGAAUCUGUAACCGUUCGUAAACUGUUCACGAGGAAUUUUAAAAGCGCGGUGGCUUAAGCGCCACUCUCAAAGAGAGACCACCGGUCGUGUUUAAUUUUGCCCGACUUUGCUAGAGACUUUCUCACUCAGGGACGGUUUUGAACGGUUCAUGGAAAUAACGGCAGAAUUUCUUCGAAAACGCAAACUAAACUCCAACUCUUUCACAGGCUAGAAGAACUUAUGGAAAACCGGAAGGGAUGCUUACUCAUACGAGCGAAAACGGAAUCAAAACGUAACGGACUGUACAACUUCAUUCGUAUUGGACGGGAAAUUCGUAACGGAAUGGAAAAAGAGCAAACAUGGCCAUGUAACUAAAAGCUCUUCACAUACCUGCGCAGGUUUUGGUGUUGCGAUGCUCGAUGACGGGGUGGCGUAGCUCGACGACUCGACGAAGACGACUACCUCGAUGUUCGACAAUGGCGACAGCAGAAUGGCGGCUGCCGACGAGUCCGUGCUGCGAUUUGGCGCGCAGCGUCGACAAAGGGACCCGUGUGCGGUAUGGCCGAACUACCGGUGCGGAGGGAGUGGCGGCUGGACGGAAGCUUCCGAUUGUUGGACGAACGAGAGGGCUUCGGCGGAUGCCGAGCGAUUCCCGGGAUGGUCUUUCUCCGGUCAAUAAAGGAGCAAACAGAGCCCAGCGACCCGGCUUCGCGUACUAUGCUUCCAGCUAUGACCGAGCGGGGAAUGCCGCUACCUCUAUCUUCCUGGAUACGGACCAGGUUCGAGACGUGCAAUUGGCGACACGCUGCUACGAACCGGCUCUCGUUGAUUCCGGCCCACGGGGUAUGACGUAAGAGGGCCUUACCGUCGGUGAUUGGCGGCCGACGGGAAUACUUCGCUACGGAGAUGAUUGAGCGACUUCACUCGCGCCUCCGUUUGACUGCCUUCUGAAAGGCGGGCCUUUGCUGGGCACACGGGUCGGAAACGAUGACUCACGGACGAAACUGGCGGUUCAAUCCGCCUACGAAACCCCGAUUCGGCGAGGGAUACCGCCGAA